rnacentral:rRNA from 1 species
UUUAAAGUCUAAUCUGCCCAAUGAGGAAUUAAAUGGCCGCGGUAUUUUGACCGUGCAAAGGUAGCAUAAUAAUUAGUUUUUUAAUUGAAAGCUGGAAUGAAUGAUUGGACGAGAAAAUAACUGUCUCAAUUUAAUUUAAUUAAAAUUUUAUUUUUAAGUAAAAAAGCUUAAAUUUUUUUAAAAGACGAGAAGACCCUAUAGAGUUUUAUAUAUUAUAGUAUAAGAAUUUUUUAGAAUAUUUAUGUUUUUAUAUUAUUAUAUAUUUUGUUGGGGUGAUAGAAAAAUUAAAUUAACUUUUUUUUUAUUAUUACAUAGAUUAAUGAUUAAUUGAUCCAUAGAUUAUGAUUAUAAGAUUAAAUUACCUUAGGGAUAACAGCGUAAUUUUUUUUUAGAGUUCUUAUCGAAAGAAAAGAUUGCGACCUCGAUGUUGGAUUAAAAUAAACAUUUGGUGUAGAAGCUAAAUAGUUAGGUCUGUUCGACCUUUAAAAUUUUACA